CGAAAGCGUUUUUAACAGCGCAAAACCCACUGUGAACAUACCUGUUUGUUGCUUCGGCAGGCGGCCCCAGGGCGGGGCCAGCAGCCUGUAUUUUUUCAGGCGCCUGCCGGAGGCCACUUCAAACUCUUUUGUAUACGUACUGUCUGAGCCUAAAACAAAAUACGUUA
rnacentral:misc_RNA from 1 species